AGUGUCAUCUUUUGGCAUUGUUAGGCCCUUCGUGGUAGGCAAUUAUCGUCACUUAGACCUUGUCAGGCCCUUCGUGGUAGGCAAGUGUCAUCUUCUGGCAUUGUCAGGCCCUUCGUGGUAGGCAAGUGUCAUCCUUAUAUCUUGAUCCUAAUAUCUUGAUUCUUAUAUCUUGAUCCUUAUAUCUUGGUCCUUAUAUCUUGGUCGUUAUAUAAUUGUUUCACCCCGAGCGGUAAACAAGAUUUUGAUGGUGCAAGGAGGAUCAGCCGAAUUCACUUCACA
rnacentral:lncRNA from 1 species